CCUACGGGUGGCAGCAGUGAGGAAUAUUGGUCAAUGGACGAGAGUCUGAACCAGCCAAGUCGCGUGAAGGAUGACUGCCCUAUGGGUUGUAAACUUCUUUUAUAUGGGAAUAAAAUGUUCCACGUGUGGGAUUUUGUAUGUACCAUAUGAAUAAGCAUCGGCUAACUCCGUGCCAGCAGCCGCGGUAAUACGGAGGAUCCGAUCGUUAUCCGGAUUUAUUGGGUUUAAUGGGAGCGUAGGUGGAUUGUUAAGUCAGUUGUGAACGUUUGCGGCUCAACCGUAAAAUUGCAGUUGAAACUGGCAGUCUUGAGUACAGUAGAGGUGGACGGAAUUCGUGGUGUAGCGGUGGAAUGCGUAGAUAUCACGAAGAACUCCGAUGGCGAAGGCAGCUCACUGGACUGCAACUGACACUGAGGCUCGAAAGUGUGGGUAUCAAACAGGAUUAGAUACCCUAGUAGUC
rnacentral:rRNA from 1 species